rnacentral:lncRNA from 1 species
GGAUGGGGGGGGGGGGACACAGUAGGGGCGGAGAUGUCUACAACAUGGGAAGAGAUCUAACCAGGCCAGGAACCGGAGGGGGAAGAGGUGGAGCCUGGAGAGCCCCAGAACCGGGACCCCUAGGGAAGUUGCUGUUGGCACCAGGGCUCCCUGACAACUCUUUAAAGGGACUCGGUUCCUUUCUCUAAGACACGUCGAUCUAGGGAGAGUUUCCAGGGAGCGGGAAGGCGGGAGCCUCGGCCUCCCAGGGCCUGAGCGCAGGGAACUCCUGCUUCUUCUCCCCGGGGGCCCGGGAGCUGCCCCAGAGCUCGAACUCCGAGGGAGACCCCGGCCUCAGCUCCACCCACGGCAACUCCAAGUCUGGGACAUUCUCAUCUGAGGGCAAGGGAGGAUGGCUUCACCUUUGACUCUAAAAUGGAGUGAACCCCCCCCCCCCUCCCCCGGCGUUUCCAAAAGGCUGGGGAGGUUUGCUACGGGGGUCCCCGUCUGCAACCGGCCCAGAAGGGGGCGCCCCUUGACCAGGGUCUUUAGGAGUUAGGGUAGAUCCUGCGCACCCCGGGCGCUGCAAAAGGGCCAGAGCAACCUCCGAGGCCCACCCCUGCCCCCAGGACUUGCUCCCUUCCCGUACCUGGAUCUCUGCAGCCCCCGAUCCAUGGCUGCCGCCGCCGCCACCACCACACCGCCUCCGCCGCCUCCGCCGCCGCUGCCGCCGCCGCCACUGCAGAAGCUGCGGCCCGGGCCCCGCCCCCUCUCCUCCCCUCCCCUCCCCUCCUGCGGUCCCAGGCGCCCCCUCCCCAGUCCCGCCCCUAAUGCGCCCCCCGCCGAACUAUUGGUCGCCCCACUGGUCCCGGCCCCCCUAGAGCUCGGAGAUUGGAUACGCGGAGUGUCACUCAAGAGUGCGGGGGAGGAGGAAUGGAACAUGGGGGAGGGGGCGCCCCUCUGUUCCAUUUCCAUCCCCCAUUCCAGCACAGACAUACCCCCUCCCCCAGCUCGCCUGCGUACCUCUGCCCGUCCCACUCCCCUCUCUGCGCCCCUCGUUCCUUCCCUCAGUCUCCUCAGCUCCCCCAACCAUCUCCCAGCUUUCCUGCGUCCUUCAACCCCCUCUGCACCCCUAGCCAUCUCCCUCUGAACCCCCAAACGUCCCCAUUUCCUUUACCUUCCUUUGUGCCCCUCACACAGGAGGUCUGGGGGACCUCUUCAGAGUGGCGCCCACUACUACACUCUGGACCCCCAAUCACCCCCACCUUCAAACCUCUCAAUCACCCCUUGGCUCUCAUCACUUUCAGUCUCCUCUGAAUCGCCAGCCUCCAUCCUCCUUCAUCAUCUCAUCUCCCUCAAAACCCUCUUACUCCCAGCUGUCUUCACCCCUAUCAAGCCCAUGAGGGCUCUAACCACUUCCACUUUUCUUACCGCCUUGAUCCUCACCUCUUCCCUUUGGUUCAACCCCCUGUGCAGCACUAACCACUCUCACCUCCCUCAGGGCCCUCUGCUCCCCCAAGCACCCUUUGUUUAUCUAGGCCCCUCAACCUUCUCACAGCCAAUCCUGUCCUCCCUCCCUCACCCCAAUAUGCUCCACCAACCACCACAUCCUUCAGCCCCCACUCAGCCUUCAACUCCCUUCUUACCUUCCACUAGGCUCCCCGAGUCCCCCAGAGACACUGAGGUGGCCCAGUGGAUACGCUACUUGGCUUGGAGUGUUGACAGACAUGAGUUCAAAUUCAACUUUAGACCUUUCUCUGGGUCAUUUCAUUAUUAUCUGCCUCAGUUUCUUCAACUCUAAAAUGGGAGUAAUAUCAGCAUCAACCCCCCAGGGUUACAGUGAGGAUCAAAUAAGAUAUUUGUAAAUAAAUUGCUUUUGUGCAAUGCCUGGCACAUUCUCCAGACCUUUUUGCCCUUCAACUCUCUCCCCGUCUUCUUUUCUGUACUUGCAGCUCUUUUCCCCAUUCCUUCCCCUCAUCUUCUCCAGGCUUCUCCAACCUGUGUCAUCUCCGCCAAUUUAACUUCUCAGCCUCAGUUUUCUUAUUGGGAAAAAUGAGAUAAUAAAACUAGAUAAUCAGCCAGGCCCUUUUUUCUAAAGAUAUCUCUGAGGCUUCAGCUUCUUUUCUCACCUCAGCUAGCUCCUGUAGGUCCUGCUCUAUCUGCCUCCCUACUCCUUCUGUCCCCUUCCCUUCACAACUUCUUCCCCCUAAAAUCAGCCUGGUGGAGGAGGGGAGAUUGGAUUUGCAGGAAAUCUGCUUGGAUCUCAGCUCUGUAAGGGACUUUUGAGGUAAGUCAUUUCUCUUCCCCUAAGAUAAGUCUGGUGGAGGAGAGGAUUGAUCUGCAGGAAAUCUGCUUGAACCUCAGCUCUGUAAUGGACUUUGGAGGUAAGUCAUUUCUCUCUGGACCUCACCUUCCUCAUCUGCAGUAAUAGUCAGCAUUUCUCGAGCUCAUUCUUCCGCAGACUGCGCAGAACGCACAUCUCCUUUCAGUCACACAACCACCUUGGUAGAAGGUAAAUGCUGCCAGUAGGACCAGCCCAUUUUGCAGAGGAGAAGGCUGAGGUGGAGAAUUGAAGGACUUGCCCAGCAAACAGCACAGAGGUCUCUCUGGCCCAGCCUCUCACACGGCCCACCACUACCUUUACAGAGUUAAAAGAGAGUCUUUUCCAGCAAGUUACAGUUAGAAGGUCUGAAGUCUUGUUCUGACACGUGCUAGCUGUGGGGUGCUGGCUGAGACCCUCUGACCGUCAGAUUUUCUCCUCUGCAGGAAAAGAAGUAAAGAAACACGUCUUCUGUUCCGUUAUGGGAAGGCAUGGGGUAACUAAGAAGGAGCCCUAGACAUGGGACCUGUUUUUAUUGUUCUCACCUCUCCCCACCCUGAUCUAUGGGUAUGGUGGCCAUUGUGAAGCUAGGAGGGAAGAGGACGGUGGCUGUUUACAGAACAAGGGGAAACGGGGAUGGGGGGACGUGGAGGGAUCACGUAAAGGAGAAAUGGAAAUGCCAUUAAAAAAAGAAGAAAACCCUUAGAACUUUGAAUUGCGCCUUAAAUGUAGGCAGCAGGAUAAACGGCGUUAUAGUAAGGGCUAAGCCAUAUUAGAGGCAACUUUGAAGGGGGGGAGGGGACUGAGAGGCCCAGAGCUGGCCCGGGCACAUUCCCUGGGGUCCUGAGGGGCACUGGAAGAACGUCAAGUUCAAGUUCGCCUCCUCCUCCCCCCUCCCCCUUAGCCGACCCAACGUGGGUCCCCCGCACAUGCGCACGUUUCACUAGCCUCCCGAAUCUCUCG